CCUACGGGAGGCAGCAGUGAGGAAUAUUGGUCAAUGGACGAGAGUCUGAACCAGCCAAGUAGCGUGAAGGAUGACUGCCCUAUGGGUUGUAAACUUCUUUUAUAUGGGAAUAAAACAGGGUAUGCAUACCCUCUUGUAUGUACCAUAUGAAUAAGGAUCGGCUAACUCCGAGCCAGCAGCCGCGGUAAUACGGAGGAUCCGAGCGUUAUCCGGAUUUAUUGGGUUUAAAGGGAGCGUAGGUGGAUUGUUAAGUCAGUUGUGAAAGUUGGCGGCUCAACCGUAAAAUUGCAGUUGAUACUGGCAGUCGUGAGUACAGUAGAGGUGGGCGGAAUUCGUGGUGUAGCGGUGAAAUGCUUAGAUAUCACGAAGAACUCCGAUUGCGAAGGCAGCUCACUGGACUGCAACUGACACUGAUGCUCGAAAGUGUGGGUAUCAAACAGGAUUAGAUACCCGAGUAGUC
rnacentral:rRNA from 1 species